rnacentral:rRNA from 1 species
UACGGGGGGGCAAGCGUUGUUCGGGAUUACUGGGCGUAAAGGGCUCGUAGGCGGCCAACUAAGUCAGACGUGAAAUCCCUCGGCUUAACCGGGGAACUGCGUCUGAUACUGGAUGGCUUGAGUUCGGGAGAGGGAUGCGGAAUUCCAGGUGUAGCGGUGAAAUGCGUAGAUAUCUGGAGGAACACCGGUGGCGAAGGCGGCAUCCUGGACCGACACUGACGCUGAGGAGCGAAAGCCAGGGGAGCAAACGGG